ACUCAAAUGAAUUGACGGGGGCCCGCACAAGUGGUGGAGCAUGUGGUUUAAUUCGACGCUACGCGAAGAACCUUACCCGGGUUUGAAUUGCAGUGGUUGUAGUCGGCAGAGAUGUCGGCGACCCCGCAAGGGGGCUGCUGUGAAGGUGCUGCAUGGCUGUCGUCAGCUCGUGCCGUGAGGUGUUGGGUUAAGUCCCGCAACGAGCGCAACCCUUAUCUUUAGUUGCCAGCACGUUAUGGUGGGCACUCUGGAGAGACUGCCGACACAAGUCGGAGGAAGGUGGGGAUGACGUCAAGUCAGCAUGGCCCUUACGUCCGGGGCUACACACGUGCUACAAUGGCCGGUACAACGGGCAGCGAGACCGCGAGGUGGAGCGAAUCCCUUUAAAGCCGGCCUCAGUUCGGAUUGCAGGCUGCAACUCGCCUGCAUGAAGUUGGAAUCACUAGUAACCGCAGAUCAGCUACGCUGUGGUGAAUACGUUCCCGGGCCUUGUACACACCGCCCGU
rnacentral:rRNA from 1 species